CCUGCUUAAAGGAAGUUGUAUUCUGGCAUUUUUUUAUACAAAUUAUAUUUAAUUUAACAAUAAGAAUUAAGGACAGAAAAGGACUUCUAUGCAUGUACAACUUUAGGUACAUAAGUAUUAGUGUACGAUCUUAGUAAAAGUCGCCAAAUGUUAAAAUUGCGCCAAAUUCUGGUAACUACGCUCAUAACAGAUCCUCAGUGUUAACAAACAACGUCAUCGUUUUUGAAUGUGUUCCUUUUAUUUGUGUGUGAGUUCUAGUGGUUUUUAUCGAGGAAUCGUGUUAUUUUUUUUGUGUUAAACUGAAUUUUAAACUCUGCAUUAUUCUAAUUUUCCUAUAGUGCAAGGAACUGCGGUAAAAGUUCUAAAAAAAUGCUCUGUUUUGCCGCGAAAUUUAUAAAAGAUUGGCCUUGAAGUACUCCUAAAGCAAUCGCAACGAAAUUUCCAGUAGAAAAAGAAAGAAAAAGUCUCUUGCUAGAUGAAGUGAACUUCAGGUUUUUCCCAACGAUAGCAAAUCUGAAGCCGAUGAGAAUUGGUUAAGACUCAUUUUUAGUAUGCAAAUGGGUGGAACAUCAACAAUUCGAUAACAAUGUUCAAAUGAUAAGAUUCUGCUCCAUCAAGGUUUGCAAGAUGUUCUCAUAAUACUCUACAGACCUUUCAAGAAGAGGCUCAUCUCCUAGGCUGCUGGAAUCACCAUUGAAUGCUUAUUUGUCCAAUAUCCAUAACCGCAUUAAUAUUUGUAUUACAAAAUAUUUAAUUGAACUCGUACAGGAAAAUAUGUCAAAUAUGAUUCUCUGCUGUUUAAUAGCUUUGAAAAAAUAAUUAUUAAAAUCGAACUGCACUCAUCACAAUUUGCAUUAAAAAUACGAACAAUCUUGUA